rnacentral:rRNA from 1 species
AGAACGAACGCUGGCGGCAUGCCUAACACAUGCAAGUCGAACGGGACCUUCGGGUCUAGUGGCGCACGGGUGCGUAACGCGUGGGGAUCUGCCCUUAGGUACGGAAUAACUCAGGGAAACUUGAGCUAAUACCGUAUAAUGACUUCGGUCCAAAGAUUUAUCGCCUAGGGAUGAACCCGCGUAGGAUUAGCUUGUUGGUGAGGUAAAGGCUCACCAAGGCGACGAUCCUUAGCUGGUCUGAGAGGAUGAUCAGCCACACUGGGACUGAGACACCGGCCCAGACCUCCGUACGGGAGCAGGCAGGUGGGGUAAUAUUGGACAAGUGGGACGAAAGCCGUGACUCCAGCAAGUCGCCGGCGUGAGUGAGUGGAACGGCGUUAGGGUUAGUAAGUCUCGUUUUCGCCGGAUGAUAG